AACGCACGAGACCUGCGGACCUGCGGAAGGAUCAUUAGUGAACGCCCUCACGGGCUUAUAACUAUUCCAAACCUCUGUGAACCGUGCCCUUCGGGGCUAUUUUACAAACAUGGUGUAAUGAACGUCAUAUAUCAUAACAAAACAAAACUUUUAACAACGGAUCU
rnacentral:misc_RNA from 1 species